GUGGACGUGUUGUUGAGUUGAGUGUCUUUACCUCUAGGGCAACAUGGCAGGGUCCUCUGGAGCCUCAUCAUCAACCUUGACAGUGACUCCAAUGAAGGCAACCACCAGGAAUACCCCAACAUUGUCUGUCACCAUCCCCACAGUGGCCCCUGCCAUGCCAACCAGUAGGACAAGUUCAUCAGUCAGUGAAGCACCUAAUACAGAUCCUACUGGUGACACUAGAGUCCCAAUGGAAUCAUCAACUUCAUCACCUGCAACUGAGCCUUCCCAAUACUCUCAGCCACUAACUCCAUCACAAUCAUCCAAUGGCAGCACCACCACACAAACCUCUACAGGUUUUACAGCUGACACUACUAUGAAUCAGACCCUAACUGGAAUAGUUGGUUAUGACUCAACAUCCUCAAUCUUCUCAUCAACUUUGUCGCCAAGCUCUGAUUUUACGACAGGGAACAUGAGCUCAAGCACAGAAAGUGAUGGGAGACAUGUCUUAUCAAGGAGUCCGGGCCUCGUAGCAGUCCUCUGCAUAUUCUGCAUCUGUCUGGGUCUUCUGCUGGCCGUUGGAAUUGCAAAGCUCAUUACUCCCAGAGGUUCAACAUUUCAGAGGCUUGAAGAUGUGCCAUUGGGCAAAAUAAAUGAAGAGUCUCCAUUUGCCCGUUACCCUGAAAAACAAUUCUGAAAGAAAACACAUCAUGAGAGAAGAAUAUCUCCUCCCAGGUUGGUCAGCAGCAUACUGAAGUCGAUCGUUGGUACUGUUCAUUCACAGGUGGAUGGAUGCAUCAAGGAACUGAAUACAGAAGAUGCACAGACAAUGUCUGCGUUUACACAGGUAGCCCAAUUCUGAUCUUUUGCCAAAUUUUUAGCGAAAGAUCUGAUUUGUCAAAAAUACCAAUUAUUGGCACAAUAUCAGAAUUGGUCUGCCUUUAUAAACACAGCCAAUGUGUCAGGUAUCACUAGAAAUAAAGCUAUGAAAAAAGCUAUAAUAAAGCCAAAUUCUCUGUUUCUUGAAAAGACUAUGACAAACAGGCCUAAUUUUUGUAUGGGUUGAAAUAAAUAAAUGAUUGCAUUGAA
ensembl:lncRNA